GACGAACGCUGGCGGCGUGCUUAACACAUGCAAGUCGAACGGAAAGGCCUCUUUCGGGGGGUACUCGAGUGGCGAACGGGUGAGUAACACGUGAGUAACCUGCCCUUGACUUUGGGAUAACUUCAGGAAACUGGGGCUAAUACCGGAUAGGAGCUCCUGCUGCAUGGUGGGGGUUGGAAAGUUUCGGCGGUUGGGGAUGGACUCGCGGCUUAUCAGCUUGUUGGUGGGGUAGUGGCUUACCAAGGCUUUGACGGGUAGCCGGCCUGAGAGGGUGACCGGCCACAUUGGGACUGAGAUACGGCCCAGACUCCUACGGGAGGCAGUAGUGGGGAAUAUUGCACAAUGGGUGGAAGCCUGAUGCAGCAACGCCGUGUGCGGGAUGACGGCCUUCGGGUUGUAAACCGCUUUCGCUCAUGACGAAGCUUUGUGUGACGGUAGUGGGUAAAGAAGCACCGGCUAACUACGUG
rnacentral:rRNA from 1 species